AGAGCAGAAGCUGCAGGUGCUCUUAAGUCUCUUUCUGCACAGUGUAAGGAAGCAAGACGAGAGAUAGCUAAUUCUAAUGGAAUUCCUGCCUUGAUAAAUGCCACAAUAGCUCCUUCAAAAGAAUUUAUGCAGGGUGAGUAUGCCCAAGCCUUACAGGAAAACGCCAUGUGUGCUCUUGCAAACAUUUCAGGCGGUUUGUCAUAUGUAAUCUCAAGCCUUGGUCAAAGCCUUGAAUCAUGCUCUUCCCCUGCCCAGACUGCUGACACCUUGGGGGCG
rnacentral:misc_RNA from 1 species